rnacentral:rRNA from 1 species
AGUGAACGCUGGCGGUAGGCCUAACACAUGCAAGUCGAACGGCAGCACAGUAAGAGCUUGCUCUUACGGGUGGCGAGUGGCGGACGGGUGAGGAAUACAUCGGAAUCUACUUUUUCGUGGGGGAUCACGUAGGGAAACUUACGCUAAUACCGCAUACGACCUACGGGUGAAAGCAGGGGAUCUUCGGACCUUGCGCGAUUGAAUGCGCCGAUGUCGGAUUAGCUAGUUGGCGGGGUAAAGGCCCACCAAGGCGACGAUCCGUAGCUGGUCUGAGAGGAUGGUCAGCCACACUGGAACGUAGACACGGUCCAGACUCCUACGGGAGGCAGCAGUGGGGAAUAUGGGACAAUGGGCGCAAGCCUGAUCCAGCCAUACCGCGUGUGUGAAGAAGGCCUUCGGGUUGUAAAGCCCUUUUGUUGGGAAAGAAAAGCAGCAGGUUAAUACCCCGCUGUUCUGACGGUACCCAAAGAAUAAGCACCGGCUAACUUCGUG